CAGGGAAUCUUCCACAAUGGACGCAAGUCUGAUGGAGCAACGCCGCGUGAGUGAAGAAGGUUUUCGGACCGUAAAGCUCUGUUGUUGGUGAAGAAGGAUAGAGGUAGUAACUGGCCUUUAUUUGACGGUAAUCAACCAGAAAGUCACGGCUAACUACGUGCCAGCAGCCGCGGUAAUACGUAGGUGGCAAGCGUUGUCCGGAUUUAUUGGGCGUAAAGCGAGCGCAGGCGGAAGAAUAAGUCUGAUGUGAAAGCCCUCGGCUUAACCGAGGAAUUGCAUCGGAAACUGUUUUCUUGAGUGCAGAAGAGGAGAGUAGAACUCCAUGUGUAGCGGUGGAAUGCGUAGAUAUAUGGAAGAAUACCAGUGGCGAAGGCGGCUCUCUGGUCUGCAACUGACGCUGAGGCUCGAAAGCAUGGGUAGCGAACAGGAUUAGAUACCCUGGUAGUCCAUGCCGUAAACGAUGAGUGCUAAGUGUUGGGAGGCUUCCGCCUCUCAGUGCUGCAGCUAACGCAUUAAGCACUCCGCCUGGGGGAGUACGACCGCAAGGUUGAAAC
rnacentral:rRNA from 1 species